GAAAGGUCCUUCCUGCCACAGUUGAGAAGGGGCUUUUGUUACAAGCUUCUGGUGGCCAGGAAUGCAACUGCAUGGGGCGGAGGAGGCGUGAACGGGGCAGCACGGACGCCGGAAGCAGUCCUCCAGCCAGCAUGCCAGAAACUUCCUACACCUCCAGGCUGUCCUGCACCCACAUGCCCCAGUGUGAGAAGCUCUCUCAGAACGGUACAAGUGGAGUGUGCCUGCAGCGUGACAGCCAGGACCCGUUCUAAGAAGACUGCUUUGUGCUGGGAAGCCGACACACAGCAGAAUAACGCACUAAAAUGGACCGAACGCAGGCUGCCCGGCUUAUCCACACAGCUGACUUUUCCAGAAUACCCGACGUGCAGUCUUUGGAGUGGAAGGUCAGGAAAGGAGAACCACCCGAAUCUCCAAACUGGCUGUAUCUACACAUUUGAGAAAAGCGCUGUCAGGUUCUCCGUCCCCACUCAAAAUCUAAACAACAGCCUUUCUGAUCACAGUCAAAUACGACGAUUGUGGCCUUCAUGGUACCCCCUUUUCUAGAAGCUUCUCAAGCAUCGAACGUGUCUAGAUGCAAAUUUGUACCUUGUAUUUGAAAAUGAAAUAAAAUAAGAUAAAAUAAAGACUCUCCUUCGGGA
rnacentral:lncRNA from 1 species